GACGAACGCUGGCGGCGUGCUUAACACAUGCAAGUCGAACGGAAAGGCCCUGCUUUUGUGGGGUGCUCGAGUGGCGAACGGGUGAGUAACACGUGAGUAACCUGCCCUUGACUUUGGGAUAACUUCAGGAAACUGGGGCUAAUACCGGAUAGGAGCUCCUGCUGCAUGGGGGGGGUUGGAAAGUUUCGGCGGUUGGGGAUGGACUCGCGGCUUAUCGGCUUGUUGGUGGGGUAGUGGCUUACCAAGGCUUUGACGGGUAGCCGGCCUGAGAGGGUGACCGGCCACAUUGGGACUGAGAUACGGCCCAGACUCCUACGGGAGGCAGCAGUGGGGAAUAUUGCACAAUGGGCGGAAGCCUGAUGCAGCAACGCCGCGUGCGGGAUGACGGCCUUCGGGUUGUAAACCGCUUUCGCCUGUGACGAAGCGUGAGUGACGGUAAUGGGUAAAGAAGCACCGGCUAACUACGUG
rnacentral:rRNA from 1 species